AGCCAGGACGGGGUGUUUACAACUAAUUGAUUACAACCAGUCACAGAUUUCUUUGUUUCUUCUCCACUCCCACUGCUUCCCUUAACUAGCCUUUA
rnacentral:sRNA from 1 species